ensembl:lncRNA
CCCCUGGAAGCAAAACCUGCUUUCUGUCUCCGUGGGUUUGCCUGUCCUGACAUUUCCCAUAAAUGGAUUCACACAGUAUCUGCCCUUUGCAUCCAGCACCCUUCACUGAGCAGACUGUCUGCAGGGUUCACGGUGCUGCAGCGAGCGUGAGGCUCCAUCCCUUCUUAAGGCCGGAUGGUCAGUCCACGCACUUUAUGGACAGACUGCCUCUGUGUCCUCAGCUGAGGACCCUGGGGCUGUCCCCACCGUCUGCUGUCCCAUGUCUCCCGGGUAAAGCCGAGGAGUGGAAUCACUGGGUCGUGCGGCAUUUCUAUGUGUACCUUUUGGAAGAACGGCAACAUCACUCUCUAAUCCGUUAUUUUCUUUUUCUUUUUUUUUAAAUUUCAGUUAAUCACUUUAUUUGACUGCACCGGGUCCUCAUUGUGGUGCGUGAACUCCUGGUUAAGCAUGUGGUUUCCUGACCGGGAUCAAACCCAGGCCCCUGCGCUGGGAGGGCGCAGUCUUAACGUCUGGACCACCACAGGAAGUCCUUACUUUAUUUCUAAUUUCCCUUCACUUGCUCUUUCCUUUGACAGCUUAAAAAAUGGGAAGACCUUUUCAGCAAAGCAAAAGAAACAAGUCACAACUUAGGUGUGAAUUAAAUGCGACACAUUUUAAAUACACCCCAACCACGUUUGAUUUUCCCCUUGUCUUUACUUCUGCAUACAGCAUUAAUUUAUCAGAAAUCAUGAUACUGUGGCUUUGACUUGGCUUUGUCCUAAAAAGAUUUCUCGUUCAGGGCCCUGGAGGCUGCCCCAAGGCCCAGAAGGGGAAUCUGCUGGACACUGACCCCGGGCCUGUCGGCCUGGCCGGCCGGGCCUUGCCUUCUGCACUCCCUGUAGGUGGUGAGUCUGCUGGACGGUGGGCCUAGACACUGACCCUGGGCCUGUCAGCCUGGCCGGCCGGGCCUUGCCUUCUGCACUCCCUGAAGGUGCUGAGUCUGCUGGACGGGGUGGGGGGCCUGGACACUGACCCCAGGCCUGUCAGCCUGGCCGGCGGGGCCUUGCCUUCUGCGCUCCCUGUAGGUGAUUCAAAGCCACUCCUUCAGAGUGAAGACAUUAAGGUCGACCUGACUGCCCCCAGGAGUUUCCUUGUGCAGCAAGCUCAGGGAUUUCCCUCCAAAAUCCUGUGAAAGCCGCUGGGUCUCCGAGGACCAGGCCUUCUUUCAGAGGAGAGGAGCUGCUUGUCUCUGAAGCAGCUCAGCAGGGGAAGGACUAUUUGCAUUGGGUUUUGUUUAAUUUGCCCGAGCCAAGCACACCGAGUCCAUUUGCCAUCACAUUAUCUAAGACAGCUCCAGAGCUUCUCAUUCUAGGAUCAAUUCCAUCCCGGAGUGACAUCCACUUAACACCCAGGGCCCCAUGCUUUUAGCUGAAUAAAGGUCAGGCCGUCCGCCGUCUCGGUGGCCGCCCAUCAUCGCAAGGGACGAGAGGCCCCCCAGGGAAGGUUAACGGAUGCAAAGCUCCGGGCUCACCUCCGCAAGCAGGAGACAUUUCCAUUUUUACUCCGUUUGGUGGACUCACUGAGGGAAUGAGCCUGCGAUGCACAGUGAGGCUGCAGCUCCUCCGGGGACCUGGCAUGCCCGUGCCCUCUGCAGACGGCGGCACGGCCUUGGUCCUCUCUGCCCGCAGCUGAGCAUCUCUCUAGUCCACCCGCGGGCGCCGUUCCAGGCGGCGCUGGGCCCGGAAACUCCGAAGACUCGCUCAGGCUGCAGGCUGGCGUCCUGGGUUCUGCCUCGGCAUCCAGGGCCGCGCGGGUGUUUCUGCGUUUGCCUGUGACCGCGUGUCCUCAGGAGGGCUGCGAGAGGCCCCUCCGCAGGUGUGGGGUCCUUCUCAGAGUCCACUCCGGAGCUGACCCCCUUGUCUGGGCCGACCAUCACCUGGGCUUCCUUCUCCCACGCUGGCUUCUCAUUCGUGACCAUCUGUAAUAAGACGAUCCGUUUUCAUGUUUUAGUUCUGUUUCCCAGCCAUGUGCUCGGUGAUCUUCGUGGCAGUUCCUCCCGUCUGAUUCUCGUGGGUUUCCCGGGAGCCUGGGGGUAAUUCAGCUCCUUCUUCCUGUUUUAACCCUCUGAUCUGCCCCCCACCCCCAACAGAUAGUUCAAAAGGGUAAUGGCUCCAGUGGGGGUGGCACAGCCCCCCGACCACCACCGGGCUCCUGGGGGGGAGUGGUCCCUGAGGACGAGUCGCCUGCCCCUCAUCCCCUGGAUAGCGCCUGUCUACAGCAGCAACAGCCACAGAGAGGGGGGCGUGAUUCUUCUCCUUACGCCUCCCGGAUUGAUGACUUUUAGAAACAAUUUUACUUAUUUGUUACUUUGGCUGCGCUGGUUCAUCAGCGCUGCUGGGGCUUUUCUCUCCUUGCUGCACGCAGGCUUCUCAUUGCAGCGGCUCCUGUAGGUUUGCAGCGCGGGCUCUGAGGCAAGCGGGCUUCGUAGCUGCAACACGUGGGCUGAGUGGGUUCGGCUCCCAGGCUCAGGAUCACAGGCUCAGGAGUUGUGGUGCCUGGGCUCAGCUGUGCUGCGCAAGUGGGAUCUUCUGGAUCAGGAAUCGAACCCCUGUAUCCUAGGCCACCAGGGAAGCACAUGGAUUGAUGAAUUAGAAAAUUUUUUUAUACUGAUUUUAAA